rnacentral:rRNA from 1 species
GACGAACGCUGGCGGCGUGCUUAACACAUGCAAGUCGAACGGAAAGGCCCUGCUUUUGUGGGGUGCUCGAGUGGCGAACGGGUGAGUAACACGUGAGUAACCUGCCCUUGACUUUGGGAUAACUUCAGGAAACUGGGGCUAAUACCGGAUAGGAGCUCCUGCUGCAUGGUGGGGGUUGGAAAGUUUCGGCGGUUGGGGAUGGACUCGCGGCUUAUCAGCUUGUUGGUGGGGUAGUGGCUUACCAAGGCUUUGACGGGUAGCCGGCCUGAGAGGGUGACCGGCCACAUUGGAACUGGGAUACGGCCCAGACUCGUACGGGAGGCAGCGGGGGGGAAUAUUGCACAAUGGGCGGAGGCCUGAUGCAGCAACGCCGCGUGCGGGAUGACGGCCUUCGGGUUGUAAACCGCUUUCGCCUGUGACGAGGCGUGAGUGACGGUAAUGGGUAAAGAAGCACCGGCUAAUUACGU